AGCUAUCUAGGGACCAAUUCGCUAUUCCUAGCUGGGGUCACAGGGAACCAACCAGUCUUCAUGUUGGAAAAAAAUGCAAUUUGGAGUAUCCACAAAACCUCCAGCGCCAAUAUCAAGGAGAUUGUAAAGAAGAUGACCCUGAACUUGGAGUAUUUGAAGGGAUGGAGGAGCUCAGCAGCUGCCAUCACCCUCAGAAGAGAACUGCUGUCGCCUAGGUGCCCCUAACUUGCAGGUUCUCAUAGAAGCAUAUGUCCUCCAAACCACUGUGUAUUCUACACUAAAGCACUUUGAAGAGAAGUGCAGAACUCACCACACACUUCCAAAGGCCCCACAGAUUGGAAUAUAGCGGCUCUCCCACCUUGAAUGCCUGCUGUUCCUCAGCCUGUCUCCCUCUCCAGCAUCUGAGUACCUCUGUGUCCUGCCCCCAACCCCCGCUCCUUCAAACUCAGCACUUUGGAAUCUCUCUCUCUCUAUCAGCAAAAGACAUGACACCCCAAUAAUAUUGAUCCAGAUCACUAUGUUUUUUACUGCCCAAUUUUCUCUCCCACCCAACUGAGGUAUUUCUGAGUAGACAUUUUGGGGUUGGAUAUUUUUUGUAUUGUUGUAGUUUGUUUUUAUUUGUUGACCUAGGGUCUCACUGUAGAACCUUAAACUCCUCCUCUUCUACUUCAUCCUCCUCAGUGCUAGGAUGACAAGCAUAAGCCGCUACACUCAGAAACCCAUAACCAAGAGCCGGGUGUGGUAACACGCACCUUUAGUCCUAGCAAAGGCAAGCAGAUCUGUGAGUUUGAGGCCAGCCUGACCUAUAGACUGAGUGAGUUCCAGGACAGCCAGAGAAAGAAACCCUUUCUCAAAAUAUCAAAAAAGUAAGUAAAAAUAGUCAAGUAAAAAAAGAAAUAAAACCACAAUGGAGCCCAAGGAUACAGUUACAAAACAACUCCCACACCUAAGGUUCAGGGAACAUUGGAUAAAGGGGUGUGUGUGUGUGUGGGAAGUUUGUUAAGAGACAAAUCAGGGAGUUUGCAGAAACUGGGUCUCCUAGUAAUGUCAAAAUCUACACCCAUAAAGUCUCAGUAGCAUGACUGCCUGAGCAGCAACUGAACAAGGACAACAGUAGACAGGCCAAUGUGGGUUGAGGAAAACACGUAGGGGCUUCAACCCUACACAAAGAACUACAGGCAGAGUGAGAGAAACAGUCUUCCCCAGGGAAGAGAACACCAAUUGGUUAUCCAAUACCAAAUGGUGAGCCCUGCACACACGCACAGAUGUGCUAACAUUAUACAGACAGAGCAGGCUACAUUUAGGAAUAUACAUGUAUAUACACAUAUGCAUGUAACAACUAUUAAUGAAAAAAGAGGACACGGAUUUGAAAGGGAGAAAGGAGGGUUUGGAUCAAGGAAAGGGAAGAGGGAAAACGAUAUAAUUAUAAUCUAAAAAAGAGCAAAACAAAACCAAAAAACACCCACCCCAGAUUCUGACUAAGAUGGAGGACCAAUGGAAAGAAGUCUUCACGUGGGACUUGAAGCCUCUGGGCUGGUUCUAGACGCAGGCUGUUGGAUCCUCAGACCCCUGAGUGCUGGGAGGAUAGGAGUGGGCCACUAUGCCAGGCUUUCACAUUUGUAGUUUAAUUAAACUGAUAGAGUCUCCUGUAUCCCAGGCUGACCUUGAGCUUGCUUUGAAACUAAAUGUCCUUGAAUGUCUGCUCCUCCUUCAUCCUCCUCCCAAGUACAGCAAUUAUAGGCACAUGUCCUCAUUCUCACAACUAUGAACUUAGGUUCGUUACAUCCUUCCCAACACAUGGACACAGAUACACACAUACACAGACUGACUCACUGGCACACAGACCAACAGAUAUAGUGACAUAUGCAUACAGACAUUGCCACAUGUUCACAGACACAUCGAGGCACACACACAUAUAUAUACACACACACACAUGUAUGACACAUGCACGUGCUGACUCACUCAGACACUGUCACACACACAUUGGCAUGCAUGUACACACGCUCCGAGG
rnacentral:lncRNA from 1 species